UUACAGGAAUUAAGUUUACACUAGCUAGGUUUCGUACCCAGAACCGAGAUGUUGGGACCUCGUGGCUGUCUUUUUAGAUGCUCUCAAAUCAAAAUCCAACGUGCUCGGCUGGAUGAUAAGAGACUAGCUACGACGGCCUUAAGACCGAGGUACGUCUCUACCAAAUAACCAUGAUAAAACAUUACCCAUCGGUUUCUUUCCGUGAGGUUUCCUUCAUGAUCUUUGGUAGAUUUUCCGACUGGUUGGGAACCUUGCCAAUCAUGGACUCCCAUUGUUAAAACACAAUCGAGAACUCGUGGAUAUGAUAGAGUAAUAUUUCAAAAAAUCCGAAUCUGUUAUCGCACCCAGUAGGCGAUACAGAUGAUCACUGAUGCUCACCGCCAUUCUCCUCAUAUGCGGAGUCAUAUAUCAACUUCCGGCAUUUCCGGUGAGUAUGCUUAGAACUUACUAUUCAGCCCUCAAACAGAAGAGAUCAUCAACCACAUGGUAUGACAAGCGCAUUUUCCGUGAUACGUCUCCCCUCAUGUAAAUUAAAUAUCGGACCUGUCAAUCCCGAACCUCAUAGGGAGUAUCUGGUAAAAAAAAAUAAAUAAAAAAAAAUAAAAAUAAAAUAAAAUAAAAAAUACUCCACACUUCACCACGUGGAACAAGGAUAUGAUAGGUAGUGGUGGACCUUCUAUCCUGGAUCGUAGACAAUCCAAAAUCUGGCCGAAGUAAUUCGCUUUGACCACCAGCUGAGAUCUUCACCCUCACUUAAAGCGACAAAAGCAAAACAAAGGCUUGGAAGUGAAAGAAAGAAAAACGUGGUUUUGAAGUCGAGACCCGCACGGCCUGUGCGGGAAGAUGAUGAAUCAGAUGCAUGAACCUGGUAGUUGACCUUGACCGAAGUAAUUCGCACGUACCUGCCUCGUCUCGUACGAGUCAAGAUGACUUUCGAAACAAAAACCUCAUCCCGUCACAGACGUAUUUCAAUGCCUCCACGGAACAUUAUCGGAUUUCAUCCAAAAGAAGUUAUCGAUCCGAAUCACCUGAGAAGACUGAGAUCAAAAGCCUAGCGGCUAAUCCAGUAGCCGAAUACUUAGCACGAUUUCCCCCACCUCGUGUAAUCCUCUUGAUGACUCAUGGCGCUUUUGUGAUGACGAUCUUUCACAUACUAUCAUUGAGAGUCAGGUAACGGAGUUUACAAUGCUCCCGCUUCCGGGCCUCGUAUUUGCUUACCUGUACAAAUAGUUGGCCAUCAUGCAUCUCUUUGUUCUCUCGACAAAAAAAAAACUCUUUAUCCUUGUUUUACUCAAUCUAUUUGUUUAUCGCAACAUCGAAUCCACAUUUUUUUUUCCCUCCUCUCAACUCUCCUCCUUAUCUGGUGGCUUGUCAGCCACCAACAGCCUGAAUGCUUUUUCCACGUGGCCGUGGGUUUGCGUAAUUUUCCCUCUCGCGUACGGAGGAUGUAUCGCAUGCGACAAAUUAGAUUUUACUGCAAGAUUGUAACUUACAAAUUCCAUUUAUUUUGCCUGUGAAAAGGGUGGAAUAACAAAUUACAAACCCCGAGUGGCCUAAUACGGAGAGAUUCUUGGCGGGGCCACUGUCAAAGCCAAUCAUAGCGUCUGCUACGGGGUUUCCGAACGAAAUUAACUUUCCCCCUAUCUCUCCAUGCCGAGAACACGUGCGGGCCAAGAUAGGUUUCUUAGUGGUGCUUUAGCUGAACUUUGAUGAUGUUUGGUCUUUCAGGCUUUCUUUCCCACUGCCGCGGCUUAAAGUUUACUGGGCAUGUACUACGUCGGUAAAGGCGAAAGUCAAUUGGGGUGAGACCCAAGUCUUGGUAUUCUAUACUUUUUGUGUGUAUGUACAUGUACAUCUUGAUAGCUUCAGUUUUUGCUCUUUUUUCCUCGAUCAGCUGUUCACUGUUCAAGGUGCGCGGAUGUGCGUGGCAAGCGAUGAACGCGCGUUAUGGGGAAAAAGCACGGAGUAUAUAAAAUAUUCGAUAUACGCAACCAAUGGAGCCCCCAUCUUUAUUUUUGAUAUGUCUCGAAAUCUACGUCGACGCCAUGAUGUAUCCAAUACAUGUCUAACGGCCAAGGACACGCGCACGCAGCCUUGUCGAUCAAUCUGCCCAUCCGUUUCCGUCCACCUGUAAGAUCAUUCUGGUGUAGGCAUCAAUCAAAAGACAGAUAGGUGUAAAAGAAAACAAUGAUGUUCUUAUUAUGGUUUGAGAUAGGAGCUCACGUUGAUAAGCAUACAGAGUACGUAAUUGUACAUUUUCUUGGCAGCGAUGAAUAUCCUCCGGAAGUGUUCAUGUAACUAUCGCAUUGUUAGGAUAGUCAGCAAACACGGGAAUGAGUUAGGGUAGUUUGCGCCCUAAACUAAAUAACAGCAUGACGAGUUUCGUUCGUGACGGAGGCAUCUCAGGGUUGGUUGGUAUUGUAGUUAUGAUUUCGUGCGAGUUGGGGUGAAAAUUCAGCUGAUUUUUACAUUGUUUAGGUACAAGAUAAUGAUGAUGAUGAUGAUGUAACUGUUUGUCUUGAGUCAUUUGGAGAUGGGACAAACAGGUACCGCAGAUGAGUAGAUAAGUUGAUAUGAUACAUCUAAGUUAAGCUCAAAACUAGCUAAGCGUUCGACUCAAAACUUCGUACAGAGUAGACUAGAGUCGAGGCUACUGUGUAC
rnacentral:lncRNA from 1 species